CUCAACCCUUUCUGGUUGGACACCCAGAGAAAUGCAAAUUACAAUAGAACCAAUCGUAAAUUAUUUCUGACGUGUAUGCUGCGUGCAAAAAUACGAAUGGAUGGACGGGUAUCCCUCUACUUUUUUAAACCAUAAUUUGAAUCCCUCUCUCAAACUUUUGGUAGUAACGUAUGAACAAAAAUUUUUGUCAACCGGCUUUUUGUCCAGCUUUCAAACAGACAUUUUUACACAAUUCUUUUAGGUACGACACUGGUAGUUUUACCCGGGAAAGAUUAUAAAAGCGGUUUUUUUCCGGGCUCAGUUACAAUCGUCUGUACCAAGCAAAUAGAAAUGUUCUCUGAGAAGUCAAUUUCUAAAUUUACUCUAAUUCUCAAUGAUUUUAUAAAAAAUAUAAAAUUUUUUAUUCGAAUUAUUUAGUAACCGAGAUAAAUUUAUUUUAAUUUCAAAUUUAAUUAUAUAUUUUUUUAACCAUUUACUUAAAAAUAAUUUAUCGUUACUAUAAAUCGUCUAUCAAUUUAUUUAAAAACUCUAAUCGUAAAAACUAAGUAAAUAAUAAUUAUUGCUGUGUGUUUUUGAAUAAUAAAAAAUUAGAAACUUACAACACAUUUUCGCCAUGAGAUUCUUCGACGCAAAAAAUUUCAAUUCUUCAGCAAAUUCAAUUCAAAAGAAACUACUACUCGAAUGUUUUUCCGACUGGAUGAUUUUUCAAAAGUACAAUUUCAUUGGACUGGAGGCAACGCACAAUUUCUCAAACCGUUUUAUAAAUUUCAACACCGACUUCAAAUUUCAUACAUCAUGCGGCUACUGAUCUAUGAAACUACUACUCGAUUGUUCUUCCGACUGGAUGAUUUUUCAUAAGUACAAUUUCAUUGGACUGGAGGCAACGCACAAUUUCUCAAACCGUUUUAUAAAUUUCAACACCGACUUCAAAUUUCAUACAUCAUGCGGCUACUGAUCUAUGGUACCGUUAAUAUGAAUCACUAUUUUCUACUUUAAGAUGAAAAUUGACGUCAAAAAUUUGAAUAAUUCAAAAUUUAGUGAGUUAUCAUUUACUAUUCAAUUAAUUAUUUUCAUAAAAAUUCUAUUUAUCAAUAAAUAUUAUGCUGAUGCUAGUCCGUGUUAAGAAAAAUGAUUUACUCCAUGCUAAGUAUAUCUACAUAUUAGUCGAUUCAAAAUUAUUUCAAGUCAUUUCAAAUUGUUUUGAAUCAUUUCAAAUCAUUUUUCUUAAUCAGGGAGUUUGGAAAUUUUUAAUUAAUAUUGAAUAUGAACCAAUAAACUGUUAAAGAAAUAUCAGGUUCAUUAACUAAAGUAAUGUCACCAUUAAGAAAAAGAUCGCUGUGAUUAAAAAAACUAUUACAAAUAAUAUGCUUACUAUUAUAAUAUAGAAAAUUAUACUGAUUUCUAUGAUCAUAUAACCAAAUUAAAAAUCGUCAAUAUCUAUUUGUUUGUUUUGUCCCGAUGACUAGAUUUUUUCAGUACUUUUAUUUCCAAAAAAAGCUCAAAAUUAUUUUUUAUAAAAUUAGUGUUCGAAAUCGACUUUGAAUUUAUUUCUCGUCAACCGGUCAAAUUUUUCUUUUAAUGGCCAAUUUUUGCGUUUUCGGUGUAUAGAAAGUUUUCAAAAAUAACAUAUUUUUAAAUAUCGAUAAAUUAUAUUGCAAAGUAUAUUUUAAUUGACAAUAAAUCAUUGCAAUAUGCACGCGAUUGAUGUAUUUUUUUUUUAUUAGAUUGUGAUAAAUCGGCAAAUUAUAUAUUGUAUCACAAUAUAAAUUUUUAUUAAUGGAAUCGUUUGUUUGCGACACUUUUUCACUUACAGUUUUCUUGAGUAAAUUACGAUCGUAAUAUUCGUGAUAUUUAUUAUCGCGCAAGUCCUUUAGACUUUCGACAUUAUGAUGAUCUAGUCUUGUUAAAAGAGAUGUUAAUUGUCCUUUCAAAACUGGAUAAAAUAAUAAUAGAAAUAAGAACGCGCUCAAAAAGGUUAUUUGCAUUGACAGUCUUUCUAUUGGUGACAUUAUUCUCAUAUUUAAUAUCAAUCAAAAAUUAAUUACAAUAGUAUCAGCGUAAUAAUAUUUAUUGUUAAGUAAAAUAAUUAUUUGAUUAAUUAAUAAAAUAUUAACCGAUGAAAAAAAAUUCAAAUUAUAAAAAUUCGUGAUUCCGUAACUUUUAAGUAAAAAUAUUUUUCAAUAUGUCAAUAUACUUUCAAACAUUUUGUAGUACUAAGUAAACUUAUUGCUACCGAAUGCGUGAAAAGCUAUGGGCACAUAAAAAAAAUUUUUUUGAAAACUGACUGUCACUAAAGUUUGUAAUUUUUAAUUUCUCUUCAUCGACUACUAGUUAAUUUAUUAUUUGGGUAAUUAAUUUAUUUAAUUACAUGUAUUACUGCGCUCAUUUUAUUUAGAAUACUUUUUUAUUGAUAUUGAAUAUAAGAAAAAUGUCACCAAUUAUCAGACUGUCAAUGGAAAUGAUAUUUUUGAGCGCAUUUUUACUCCUUUUAUUAUUGUAUCCAGUUUUGAAAAGACAAAUAUCAACUCUUUUAACAAAACCACAUCAUCAUAAUGUCGAAACUUUAAAAGAUUUGCAUGAUAAUGAUUGUCAUGGUUAUUACGAUCUUAAUUUACGCAACGAAAUUGUAAAAGAAAGAGUGUCGCAUACAUACGGUUUUGUCAAUAAAUAUCAAUAUCCUGAUAUGAAAUGUAAUUUUUCGAUUUAUUGCUGUCUAUUGGUAAAAAAUACAUCAAUUCCGUGGAUAUUGCAAUGAUCGCUUGUUAAUUACGGUGCGUUUUACAAUAUAGUUUAUAUAUAUAUGAAAAUAUUAUAUUUUAAAGACUUUUUGUACAUUGGGCACGCAAAAAUUUGACAUUAAAAGAAAAAUACGAUCAGAUGAUCCGCAAUAUAUUUGAAUUUACUUUCAAAUUCUAGUUUAAUAACAAAAAGUUUUGUGUUUGUUUUUGAAGAAUAAAUGUUAUGGAAAAAAACUACUUAUCAGGGCACUACAAACAAAUAGGUAUUGGUAAUUUAUUAAUUUGUUUAUAUAAUUAUAGAGGUCAGUGUAAUUUUUAGUAAUUAUAAUAGUAAACAUAGUAAUUGUAAUAGUUUUUUAAAUUUCGUAGACUGAUUUUUAAAAAUAUAAAAUUCGCGCCAACUGACAGUCGGUUUAAAAAUUAACACAGAAUAUAAUUGUAUUGUAAACUCACAUGCUAUUUUUUUUCGAUCCACUGAAUAUGUACUGGUCAUGUAAUGAAUGAACAAUAAAAAUAAAAAAAUUGUCAAAAUUCAAAA